rnacentral:rRNA from 1 species
UACGUAGGGUGCGAGCGUUGUCCGGAAUUACUGGGCGUAAAGCGCGUGUAGGCGGCCCUGCAAGUCGGGUGUGAAAUCCCACGGCUCAACCGUGGAAGUGCAUUCGAAACUGCAGGGCUAGAGUCCUGGAGAGGAAGGUGGAAUGCUUGGUGUAGAGGUGAAAUUCGUAGAUAUCAAGCGGAACACCGGUGGCGAAGGCGGCCUUCUGGACAGUGACUGACGCUGAGACGCGAAAGCCAGGGGAGCAAACGGG